UACGUAGGGUGCGAGCGUUAAUCGGAAUUACUGGGCGUAAAGCGCGCGCAGGCGGUUUUGUAAGCCAGAUGUGAAAUCCCCGGGCUUAACCUGGGAAUGGCAUUUGGGACUGCAAGGCUUGAGUGCGGCAGAGGAGACUGGAAUUCCUGGUGUAGCAGUGAAAUGCGUAGAUAUCAGGAGGAACACCGGUGGCGAAGGCGGGUCUCGUGGGCCGAUGACUGACUGAGGCAGCGAAAGCGGUGGGGAGCGAACAGG
rnacentral:rRNA from 1 species